rnacentral:rRNA from 1 species
UACGAAGGGGGCUAGCGUUGUUCGGAAUUACUGGGCGUAAAGCGCAUGCAGGCGGAUCGUUAAGUCGGGGGUGAAAUCCCAGGGCUCAACCCUGGAACUGCCUUCGAUACUGGCGAUCUUGAGUCCGGGAGAGGUGAGUGGAACUCCGAGUGUAGAGGUGAAAUUCGUAGAUAUUCGGAAGAACACCAGUGGCGAAGGCGGCUCACUGGCCCGGUACUGACGCUGAGAUGCGAAAGCGUGGGGAGCAAACAGG